GUUGAAUUGAAUAUAGAUGACAGGUACCAAUAUUUAUAGGAAUUUCUUUUGACCAAAGGGGAGAAAUAAUGCUAUCCAAAAAAGGAAUGAAAAAGUCUAGUGGAUAGUAAGAUGUGAGAGAUAGUUUAUAAAGUAUAUCAGAGUAAUCACAGUUUAUUAAAAAAUAUUUUUCAUAGGUCUUGAGAUUUCCAAUUUAAUUGUGAUGUUUUUUGAAAAGAUUUUUAGCAUUCAGAAAUUUUUAACUUCACAAAUGUGUUUCCUAAAAGCUUGGAUGAAAAAAGCUGUUACAAGUUUGAUUUUUUCAGUAUUUUGUUAUCCCUAAGAAAAAAGGUUUUAUGUUAGUGGGGGCUUUUAGUGUAAUGCCAUUUAAAUAUUUAAAUGCAUUGAAAAUACCUUUUCUGAAGGAAACUUAAAAUCCAAAUUUGUGGAUUUAACUUCUAUCUUUAAAACUGUUUUUGAGAGAUUUAUGUUAAAUGCUUUUUUUUCCUUUUAAUUUUUUUUUUUUUAGUUGUAGAUGGACACAAUAUCUUUAUUUAUUUAUUUCUAUGUGGUGUUGAGGAUCGAACCUGGUGCCUCCCACGUUCGAGGCAGGCGUUGUAUCACUGAGCUAUAGCCCCAGCCCAAAUGCUUCUUUUUCUAUUCCAAAGACUUGAAUGAAAGAAGCAAGGUUAAAAUAUUAGAAGAGAUAAAAAGAAGUGUUUAUUCAUGAUUUGUUAUUUUACUUAUCUUUGAUUAGAGUACCAGGUCUUUAAAAUAUAGUCAUGUGUUGCUUAACAAUAGGGAUACAUUCUGAUAAAUAUAGUUGGGAAUUUGUCAUGUUAAUGUCAGAGGUACUUACAUAAAAUUAUAUCGCAUGAGUAUAUGAAAUCAGUUAAUCCUUACAUUUUUGGCAAUGAAAGUAGUGAUUAUAAACUCAAAUAAAAUUCAUGUUCAUUGACUUUAGAAAAAGGGUAAUACUGAAAUUAAGUGUUCAUUUUUGCUCUCUAAGAUGAAAGUGAGAAAUAAAAUAUUUUAGUUUUGUUUCAGUUUUGAAAUUGUUUUAAACAAUAAAUGAUUAUAAUUUCCCCCCAAACAGUGCAUGC
rnacentral:lncRNA from 1 species